CCAUGGUGAUGGCAGCCAUUUUUUAGUUCCAAAGUUGCACUGCAACUGGAAAGUCAGGGUUCCUUGUUAUAGUGCACCAUCAUUCAGAUUGGUUCCUUUGGCUCUGAGAAAACUGGCGGACAAAAUUAGGUGGAAGAAAAAUAAUAAUAACUAGAAUUGCCAUUGCAAGCAAUAGCGGAUGUCACCCUUCCCCCCCAUUGCCACUAAGCGGCAGCCAUUUCAAAAUUGUUUAACAGUGAAUGCACAUAUAUGCAUUGCAAUACAUCUUUCUGUAAAUUUUCAGUACAUUCAGAGCAUUUUA
rnacentral:lncRNA from 1 species